rnacentral:misc_RNA from 1 species
AACGCACCUUGCGCUCCUUGGUAUUCCUUGGAGCAUGCCUGUUUGAGUAUCAUGAAAUCUUCAAAGUAAAUCUUUUGUUAAUUCAAUUGGUUCUACUUUGGUAUUGGAGGGCUUUGCAGCUUCACACCUGCUCCUCUUUGUGCAUUAGCUGGAUCUCAGUGUUAUGCUUGGUUCCACUCGGCGUGAUAAGUAUCUAUCGCUGAGGACACUGUAACAGGUGGCCAAGGUAAAUGCAGAUGAACCGCUUCCAAUAGUCCAUUCACUUGGACAGUAUUUUUAUGAUUUGAUCUCAAAUCAGGUAGGACUACCCGCUGAACUUAA